UAAUGACAUGCACAUAGGUUUGCCUUUCUGAAUUCUUAUGUUGAAUCUACUGUUGGUUGGCACCUGCCACUAGCAUAAAUUUCUACUCUUUCAAUCAGUGGGACAAAUUCACAUGCCAGUCGAGGCUGAUUCACCUGUUUAGGGCUGUGAGUGAUUUGAAGAGGACUACCUUCUCAGCACUUCUUUGGCCCAGAGUCACAGGAACCCUCUUCUCAAGAAUGUGGUCCUGGGACCUCUGAGAGGGUCUGGAAUUAGGGUUCAGGUACCAUCCAUCUGUUACGUGCUUUGAAGAUGCCACUCCAUCUGUGGGAUUCAAUUUACAUAAACUGAAGACUAUUCUUCUGAGUUGAAGUGAGGAGAGGCAUCAAUCACACUGGAAAAUUAUUUGAUCUCCUGGAAGCAAAAAGUCCACCAUGAAGUUGUUCUUGCCAUGGACUUCUAGAGGAGCUGACUGUCCUUUGGGAAGCUACAAAUACAGCCUUAAAAUCUGUUAGCAGGGAAGAGAGGCUUUUUCUGAGUGAUCAGGAAUGAAGAAGCAGAGAUCAUGCAAGGUGUUUCCAUCCAAAAGUAGGCAUCUCAUGUCAUCUGCUCUGGCCAGUAUUUAACCUUGAGAAAAGAAGAAGUGUAGAGAUGAUGUACUUGCCUGAGGGAUGGAUUAAAAAGUCUUUGGUCUUCUCUGAACGGUACUACUGAAUUUAUCCUCAUCACCGUCAUCAUUGUCAUUGUCAUCAUCAUCAUGAAAACAGGAGCAGAGAGAGGAAUGCUAUGAAGCUAUUAUUGUUCAAAAAAGACCUGGAGACAGCGGAUUGAAAAUCUCACAGCCAAAACGCAAUCUGGUGACUACCUUCUCUGGCUCUCAUUUGCUGACUUUGGAAGUUUGAAAAGGUUAGAACAACAUGCUUUUUUUUUUUUUCCUUUUUUUAUUAGAAUGCCAAACUUCAAAACCUUUUGAGAAUAUUUUUGGUUCUUAACUCUAGAAGGAGGGCCCAGCAUCCCUUGAAAACAAGCUGAUUACUCUCCCAGAAAAGCAUCUCAGCAUCUGUUAUUGGGAAACAGGGGAAUGUGCCUGCUUUGGUUUCUUUGUUUCUGUCAUUCAACUCCCUCAUCCCAUUUUCCUUAAUGGAACUUAACUAUGAUUUUUAGGGAAGACCUUAUGCUGAGUGUAGUUCCUCUCUUUUCCUCACUUUGCAGAUUCUAGACAACCUAGAUGCUCAGUAAGAAAGUGAACAGGACAUUCAUACAGAGUGGAGUUGUUAGAAAUGAGACUGGAACAGGGACAG
rnacentral:lncRNA from 1 species